AUACAUGAGCAAAAUCUCAACUUUAUUAGAAGAGACGCAUUUAUUAGAUAAAAAGCCAAUGCAUGCUUUUACAGUAUGAAAAUUGGUGAUUUAUAAUAACUUAGCAAAUCGCAAAGUGAAAACAGGCGAUAAAUCAUUCAAGUUUCUGACCUAUCAGCUUUCGACGGUAUGGUAUUGGCUUACCGUGGCAGUGACGGUUAACGGGGGAUUAGGGUUCGAUUCCGGAGAGGGAGCCUGAGAAACGGCUACCACAUCUAAGGAAGGCAGCAGGCGCGCAAAUUACCCAAUUCUAACAGUUUGAGAGAGGUAGUAACAAGAAAUAACAAUACAAGGCAGUUAAAAUGCUUUGUAAUUGGAAUGAUAGAAAUUUAAACCCUUUUUAAAGUAUCAAUUGGAGGGCAAGUCUGGUGCCAGCAGCCGCGGUAAUUCCAGCUCCAAUAGCGUAUAUUAAAAUUGUUGCAGUUAAAAAGCUCGUAGUUGAAGUUCUGCUAAAAGUAACCGGUCUGCUUUGAAUAAAAGUGGUAUCUUGGUAUGUAUUUAGCAAUGAUGUCCUUUGAAGUGUUUUUUACUUUAUUGUAAUAAAGCAUAUUCAGGACUUUUACUUUGAGAAAAUUAGAGUGUUUCUAGCAGGCCAACGCUUUGAAUACUGCAGCAUGGAAUAAUAAGAAGGGC
rnacentral:rRNA from 1 species